rnacentral:rRNA from 1 species
GUAGGGAAACUUACGCUAAUACCGCAUACGACCUACGGGUGAAAGCAGGGGAUCUUCGGACCUUGCGCGAUUGAAUGAGCCGAUGUCGGAUUAGCUAGUUGGCGGGGUAAAGGCCCACCAAGGCGACGAUCCGUAGCUGGUCUGAGAGGAUGAUCAGCCACACUGGAACUGAGACACGGUCCAGACUCCUACGGGAGGCAGCAGUGGGGAAUAUUGGACAAUGGGCGCAAGCCUGAUCCAGCCAUACCGCGUGGGUGAAGAAGGCCUUCGGGUUGUAAAGCCCUUUUGUUGGGAAAGAAAUCCAGCCGGCUAAUACCUGGUUGGGAUGACGGUACCCAAAGAAUAAGCACCGGCUAACUUCCCGCCACCAGCCGCGGUAAU